CGUGCGCCGCCGGCCCCUGGCCCCCAUCGCCGCGCGGUGCCCCCCGUCGCCCCCCGUCGCCGGCCCUCCGCCCCUCGGCGUCGCCCAUCACCCAAUCUUUCUCGUGACCCCUCAGGAUUCUAACUCCGCAUCUCUCAUCGCCUGUCUAACUCCUCCCAUAAAUUGGCUCGGGAGAGAGGAUGUGAGGGGCAGAUCCUAUAGAGACGGAGGAGCACCAAACGUCUAGAAUCUUUCUUGCUUGUGGCGCACCCAUGAGGUCCAAUUCCUGCAGGACGCACAACGAAGGAAUCCGGCGAGGCGAGGGGGAGGGAACGAUGUGGGAGUGGGAGAACGACGACAAGCCACGCGGCUGAGUGAAGAGGUUGUCGUCGAUUUCGACACGGAUAUCCUUUGUCUUCGGCUCCAAGACCAAGGAUUACUAUGAGUUACCGCAAGUUGAUUGGAAAAAUCGGGAUGAGUUUCAUCCGUCUUCCACUGUUGCUUAUAUGAAAUUGUAUACACGCUGCUGUCCAACUGCGGCGCGGCACGACACCAUUGCUGGAGCUACGACUGCUUGCGCCUCUUGCCACGCUGGUCAUGAUGGUGUACAUGCUGAUCAACAUGAUGGCCACCAGCCAUCCAGAUCUUCCGCAGUUAGCUCGGCAACUUCCAGCUCCCCGCCGCAGCAGUGACAACAGUCACAACACCCAGGUGCUCAUCUACCCUGACUGGAUACACUUCCAUCGUGUAUAAUGUUACAUCUACAUACAACACGUACGUGACCUCCAGGCAAGCACGGAUUGGAUGUUCGUCUCUUUGUCGUCGUUGCGGUGUUUGGGUCAUUCUACCAGUUUUGUCAGAUGCUGGGGCGCUCCCCUCCUGGUGUAGCGCACGAGGGAAGGAGGAGGUAAGCACGGAUUGUACGUUCGUCUUCGUCUCUUUGUCGUUGUUGCGGUGUUUGGGUCAUUCUACCAGUUUUGUCCACGGUCAUCACCAAGCUCGCGCCAAUUGAUCCACAAGCAGGGCAUCAAGAGGUGAUCAGGUUAUAUGGUUUUCUUUGUUUUGAUUUUGGGAUAUUCAGGUUCCACGGUCAUGAUGGUUGUUUUACCCUAAUAAAGUUCUCCCUGGCGUGUUCAUGACAUCUCCGCCCGGCCAUCUUCAAGGUCAACACGGAACUACAAGACUUCCACAGGCCUGAUACUCCUCGAUCACUAGCAAUGCAUGCCACGAACCGGAUUUAAUAUCCAAUUUCACGCUACUGUGGUUAGUCGUUCUCAACCUCCCCUUAAUCUGAGAACCUACAACACAGUCCUUUGCAGUUUUCCGAUCCCAGAAGCAAAAGUAUGAUUGGAGCAGGGUAAUACAAUCUUUUGUAUGAAAAGGCAAAUAUGAUCUUCCUCUUCUCACCGCAUUCAAGAUCUUCAAUGCUUUUUGUAUGGUUUAGGGAGAGCAUGCGGAAGAAUGGUAUUAUUAUACAUAUUGGCUAUGAGGACGAGGCCUUCAGUUUGAAAUACGCGUGGAUGUAUCACAUUUCUAUUCUGGGCAGAUAAGUUUUUUAUAGAUACCUUGCCUGCAGCUAAUUUGGUUUGUUCAAGUAUGUGAUAUGUUCAUUCUAUUUUUUUCCUCAUUCCCUGCUGCAGAAUAGCAUCAAUUACUCAUGAAAUCAUCUCCUGAAUUAAUUUGCUUCUAGCAUUCUUAGUUUUCUGAUCUAAGAAAAUUUCUUUAUUUUUUGGUAUCACAUAAUUUGGUACUUAAAAAAGUUCCAAAAAUUAAAAAAGAGAAUUUUUAAAUAAAAUUCUCAAUAAAUCAUAAAAUGUUUGUGAAUUCAAAAUCAGUUCAUAUUCUUUUAAAGAUGUUCGCAUAUUCAAAAAAUAUUCGCGUUUUUUAAAACAAAUGUUUGGGAAAUAAAAAAAUCAUCAUUUUAAAAAAAAGUUGGUGUAUAGAAAAAUGUUAAGAAAAUUGAACAAAAUGUUCGCCAAAAUGUUAUUGGUGGUGCAGCAAAAUGUUUUCAUGGACUUUGAAGAUUAUGUUUUUUUCUUCCGUUGCAAUGCGCGGGUCCUUUUCACUCUCGAUGACACCGACGUGCAGACUGUAAGUUCCCCCUCUCAGUCCCGAUAUAUGAUGCAAGACACGCUGCAUUUAAACGAUAUUGCUAGGAACGCAUGCAAAUUGCAUAAUUUGUAAUACAUGUUGUUCAUUGGACCUCAAGAAUAGAUUUGACACCUUACCAUAGGUAGCUCUUGAUUCCUUGAGUAAACUUGUAACUUUGAUUAGUCUGUGGUAGAUAACUGAGUGUGUUUAACUUAUGAUUUUGUACAAACAGCUUGUAGUAUGGCUCUUGGUAUCCUUUUUGCUAGCUUCGUUCAUGCCAAGAUUUGCAUCUUUGAUUUUUUUUCCAGGUCCUUAAGAUGAGUGAUGAACAUCCGUCGAGCCGUCCAAUGUCGCAUGUGGUGGCUACAUGGAAGCACAAGUGCUCCCUGGGUGGUUUUGGUAAUUAAUAUCAACAUAUUUCUUGUUGGACUAAUACUUUUAUCUAAUAUGUUUCAGAUAAGUUCAACAAUGGAGUGGCAUGGACUGGACG